UUGUGUGUUUGUUGAACCUGAGUUUGUGUCGUGUUUGAACUUGAGAUUUUGCUGUUUUGUGAUCUUGAAUUUGUGUGGGUUUUUUUUAACUUGAGUUUUUGGUGUUUUUGAAUUUGAGUUUCUGUUGUUUUUGAACAUGAGGUUGUGGCAAUUUGUUAAACUUGAGAUUUGGGUGUCGGUUGAAAUUAAGUUUCGGCAUUUUUGAACUUGAGUUUGUGGUGUUUUUGAACUUGAAUUUGUGUGUUUUUUGAACCUGAGUUUGUUGAACUUGAGUUUUUGGCAAUUCUUUAAUGUUAAUAUAGGUUAUUUGUUGAAUUUGAAAUUUUGGCAUUUUUUGAACUUAAGCUUGUGGUGUUUGUUGAACUUGAGUUUGUGGCAAUUGUUAACAUUGAGUCUGUAUUUUUCUCUGAACAUUAGUUGGUGGCAAUUGUUGAACUUGAGUUCGUGUGUUUG